rnacentral:rRNA from 1 species
AGGGCACCACCAGGAGUGGAGCCUGCGGCUUAAUUUGACUCAACACGGGAAAACUCACCCGGCCCGGACACUGGAAGGAUUGACAGAUUGAGAGCUCUUUCUUGAUUCAGUGGGUGGUGGUGCAUGGCCGUUCUUAGUUGGUGGAGUGAUUUGUCUGGCUAAUUCCGAUAACGAACGAGACUCUAGCCUACUAAAUAGAUCGUCGGCUUACAAACGCCGACGAGACUUCUUAGAGGGACAGGCGGUGAUUCAACCGCACGAAACAGAGCAAUAACAGGUCUGUGAUGCCCUUAGAUGUCCGGGGCCGCACGCGCGCUACACUGAAGUGAUCAGCGUGCUUUUGUCAACCUACUCUGUCAAGAGUGGGGAACCCAAUGAACCUUCUUCGUGAUUGGGAUAGGGGAUUGUAAUUAUUCCCCUUGAACGAGGAAUUCCCAGUAAGCGCGAGUCAUAAGCUCGCGUUGAUUACGUCCCUGCCCUUUGUACACACCGCCCGUCGCUACUACCGAUUGAAUGUUU